rnacentral:rRNA from 1 species
GACGAACGCUGGCGGCGUGCUUAACACAUGCAAGUCGAACGGAAAGGCCCUGCUUUUGUGGGGUGCUCGAGUGGCGAACGGGUGAGUAACACGUGAGUAACCUGCCCUUGACUUUGGGAUAGCUUCAGGAAACUGGGGCUAAUACCGGAUAGGAGCUCCUGCUGCAUGGUGGGGGUUGGAAAGUUUCGGCGGUUGGGGAUGGACUCGCGGCUUAUCAGCUUGUUGGUGGGGUAGUGGCUUACCAAGGCUUUGACGGGUAGCCGGCCUGAGAGGGUGACCGGCCACAUUGGGACUGAGAUACGGCCCAGACUCCUACGGGAGGCAGCAGUGGGGAAUAUUGCACAAUGGGCGGAAGUCUGAUGCAGCAACGCCGCGUGCGGGAUGACGGCCUUCGGGUUGUAAACCGCUUUCGCCUGUGACGAAGCGUGAGUGACGGUAAUGGGUAAAGAAGCACCGGCUAACUACGUGCCAGCAGCCGCGGUGAUACGUAGGGUGCGAGCGUUGUCCGGAUUUAUUGGGCGUAAAGGGCUCGUAGGUGGUUGAUCGCGUCGGAAGUGUAAUCUUGGGGCUUAACCCUGAGCGUGCUUUCGAUACGGGUUGACUUGAGGAAGGUAGGGGAGAAUGGAAUUCCUGGUGGAGCGGUGGAAUGCGCAGAUAUCAGGAGGAACACCAGUGGCGAAGGCGGUUCUCUGGGCCUUUCCUGACGCUGAGGAACGAAAGCGUGGGGAGCGAACAGGCUUAGAUACCCUGGUAGUCCACGCUGUAAACGGUGGGUACUAGGUGUGGGGUCCAUUCCACGGGUUCCGUGCCGUAGCUAACGCUUUAAGUACCCCGCCUGGGGAGUACGGCCGCAAGGCUAAAACUCAAAGGAAUUGACGGGGCCCCGCACAAGCGGCGGAGCAUGCGGAUUAAUUCGGUGCAACGCGUAGAACCUUACCUGGGUUUGACAUGGAUCGGGAGUGCUCAGAGAUGGGUGUGCCUCUUUUGGGGUCGGUUCACAGGUGGUGCAUGCCUGUCGUCAGCUCGUGUCGUGAGAUGUUGGGUUAAGUCCCGCAACGAGCGCAACCCUUGUUCACUGUUGCCAGCACGUUAUGGUGGGGACUCAGUGGAGACCGCCGGGGUCAACUCGGAGGAAGGUGGGGAUGACGUCAAGUCCUCAUGCCCCUUAUGUCCAGGGCUUCACGCAUGCUACAAUGGCUGGUACAGAGAGUGGCGAGCCUGUGAGGGUGAGCGAAUCUCGGAAAGCCGGUCUCAGUUCGGAUUGGGGUCUGCAACUCGACCUCAUGAAGUCGGAGUCGCUAGUAAUCGCAGAUCAGCAACGCUGCUGUGAAUACGUUCCCGGG